CAUAUGCAGGUGUUUGUGCGGACACGUCUAUACCAGCGUUUGCUGAUCGGUGUAAAAGACGUAUAUUCAGGCCCAUAUGUGCUUAGAUAUGAAGAUAUAUAUGCCUAGGCAUGCAAUACAUGUUUCUGUACGUACACACUGAUCUAUGUCUAUAUUGGCAGGCAGCUCAGUCUAGAGAUAAAAGAUAGGUUCUUUGUUUCCCAAGACACCCAGCGUGUUCUCCAAUCGCUAGUGGAUCUGGCCUGGAGCUUGGCGCCUCGGUUUUCUCUUUCAAAGUUACCGCUACGCCGGCAGGGUGUGCUAACGCGCGUCCGUGUCCCUCCUGCUUCUGUUGCUCCCAGAUUGUGAGUGCGCGGUUUCCUUCCUUGUGCGAAGAGACACCUUUGCGGGGGUUGCCAGUUUUUGCCUGAAGUUGGGCACGAGUGUUUGGAAGCGACAAGGAAAAAGCGUUUUUUCUGUGGUAUUCUCUUUCUCUCACAGCUCCACGUAAGGAAGGAGAGAGAACUCGGCGGCAGCCGGCCACAGCAGGCGAAUGGGAAACGGCCCAGUUUUUGCGCAUUCGGCUUCUUUAUCCGGUACAUACAGCUGGCUCUCUGCUCCUUUUUCUUGUUCUGCUCCAGCUCUGUAUGUUUUGCGUCUGCUGUGCGUUUCACUGUCGCUCCGCGCAGACCCCAGCGGCCGUAAGGUUUUGCUCAUUUCAUACCCGCUUCGGAGUCUCCCGUCGCCCAGGCGAUGCCGUCUGUGGCUGUAUGUGUGAAUUCGUUUCCGUACACCCAUCUCUAUGCUCAUAGCCUCGGUCAGCACAACGACCCCUCUUGUACGCUAUGCCUGUGAAAGAACUUUCUCUGCUUCGCCUCUGCACAAAUUCACACCGUAAUGCGAAUAUAAUAGGUGCACAAUGGGGAAUGUGUGGAAAUGGAAUAUAUAUGGGCAUGCAGUUGGGCGCAAAAACCGUGUAUAUACACCUGCCUGUUGCACGCUUGGCCGAUGUGGGCUACGCCGCGUGCUCUGUCGCGGUUUGCUUCAUGGCAGUUGGCUCGUGCGUAUCUACAACAGAUAGAGACAACGUGGAAGGUAUGUGGGAAAUAUGCGAACUCGAUUUGUAUCCUCUAUCGAUCCCCUUAUAUGCCGUUCCUGGUCGCACUGCCAGAAUGUAGGCGUAUCUCCUUGCGAAUCGACUGCAGUCAUCGGAGAGAGAGAACGAGGAAGCGUCCUUCUGUCGAGAGUGACACAAAAGACAAGAACCGACAGCUUCCAUGACAGAUCGGAGGCGGGCCAGGCGACGCUCAUGCACAGCUCUUGCCUUUGUUUUCCUCUUUUUUUAUUCGCUUCAUCUUUCCGUCUUCGUUGCGCCCGUACUGUCUCCUGCCGCCGCCAUCUUGUGCAGCCCCCUGAUCUGCGGCCUCCUCCUCCCUCCUGUCUUCGUCUCAGCUGUCAGGUGUCUUCCCUUCCUCGUUUUCAGACGUUUCACGCGCCGGCCUUCCGGUGUCUCUGUCUGCUUUUUCACACUUCAUUUUGACCGCGUGGUCGGGGAUGCUCGUCUUGUCCUCGUGCAGUCACAACUCGUGUCCCAUUUUUGUUGGAUUCUCCAUGUUUUGGGAGUUCCGCUCUCAGCCUCGCCACUCAGCUGCGGAAAACCCUGCUUUCGGCCGGCGGGCUUCCCUGUCCUCAGCGUAAUGUAAGCAACGCCUUUCUCCCUGCUGGC
rnacentral:lncRNA from 1 species